rnacentral:rRNA from 1 species
UACGUAGGGUCCAAGCGUUGUCCGGAUUUACUGGGUAUAAAGGGUGCGCAGGCGGAUCUGUGCGUCGGAGGUUAAAGACCCGGGCUCAACCCGGGAAGUGCCUUCGAUACGGCAGAUCUUGAGUACGAGAGAGGAUAGUAGAAUUCCUGGUGUAGCGGUGAAAUGCGUAGAUAUCAGGAGGAAUACCAGUGGCGAAGGCGGCUAUCUGGCUCGUAACUGACGCUUAGGCACGAAAGCGUGGGGAUCAAACAGG